UGUCACUCCGCAUGAUAAAGUAGACUGCAGCUCACACAGCCCGGAGAGAGGCAGACAGCAGCAGUGCGACUGAGGCAGCCACUGGCAUGAACUGAGUUUACACGAAAGGGGAAUACUAACAACUGACAGAGACAACCUAUUGGGAUUUGCUUAAGGAUCUGUCUGUUGGACUCCAGCAGUCUCCGCACAUAACUGGAGCGAAAGACAAGAAAGGAGACAUCGCACAUCGGCCGAGUUGCCACUUCUCCUUUUCUACCGCAGGAGCCAUGGUGGCAGCAGUCCUGAAGAUAUACUUUAUUGGCACGGCGCUGAGUGUCCUGGCUGUCCUCUUUGGAUUAGCGGACUCCUUUGGUGGUCUGAUGUACGUCCAGGAGGACAUUCACCACAUGUUGGGGCUGGACCACCAGACAGAGACAAAGGGGCAGGUCUCCUCAGACGACCACCAGAGAGGAGCAUCUGUGACUAAAAACAUUGGCUCAUGAGGGGGAAACUCGUGUGGAAAUUGGGUCACUUUUUUUUUUUUUUUUAAGCGUGGCUGCUGGAAGGACACGCCGGAUACUGUGUGGCUAAUGGACUGACAAACAGGGAACCUGACUGAUUGUGCUGUUUCUACUGCCAAGUAUCAACAUCAUGGUGAUGGCUAACUUGCUGGACGUGUUCUGUUCCCUUUUUUUUUAUGUCUCGCCGCCCUAGAUUAGUUUGUUGAUAUGGACACGUAAUCCCUGCAGCAUGUCUCUAUUUGCUCUACUGUUUACCAUCUGCUGUCAAACACUGUAGCAGCUAGCUUGUGUCAAAGGCAACUACAAAUCUGACGUGUAACCGCACUACUGAACAAUGAUUUGCACUAAAAAUGAGGAAUGCUUUGGCUUUUGUCAGGGCAAAAUGUGGAUUUUGAGGUUGUUGUUUUUUUAAUAAAAUGAAUUAUGUGUUGUAAUGAG